ACCCACAGAGUCAUAUGAUGUCUCUGAUUUGGGAAUUCACACUUUAUGCCCUGUGGCCUUCGCCCGGGGUAUAACCCACAUUUUGCGCACUGACAUCUGUCCCUGGCGGGCGGGCAGCGCAAGCUGCUUGUCAACCAUGAUUCUUCAUGGGUGUGGACAACCCGUCAACCACUUCUUUACUUAUGUUUUUCUUACAUUGUCUGACAUUAUUUGUACAAAAACACAAAACAACUUUUGGCAACGGAUCUCUUGGCUCUCGCAACGAUGAAGAACGCAGCGAAAUGCGAUAAGUAGUGUGAAUUGCAGAAUUCAGUGAAUCAUCGAAUCUUUGAACGCACAUUGCGCUUCGUGGUAUUCCGCGGAGCAUGCUCGUUUCAGAAUCAUUAAAAAACUCACAGCCUGUGGAAUGUUGUCGGGUUUUUACUCCUUGUGGGUAUAGCCUGCGGCAUUACCACCGGCCUGUAGGAUAUGGGCACUUUGGAUAUCAUAGCCAAUUGCCUUAAAGUUAGUGAGUGCGUGACUUUUUGUUAAUUUGCCGACCCUCAGUGCAACAGCCUUAGACUCACUCCUGGGCACAAAUUGGGAGUCACCACCUGUAAAGAACACAGAGCUGUUGAGCAGCAAUGCUCUCCAGCUCUGACAACUUGGUCUGAAAUCGAGCAAGAAAACCCGCUGAACUUAAGCAUAUC
rnacentral:rRNA from 1 species